GCAAACUUGGUCAUUUAGAGGAAGUAAAAGUCGUAACAAGGUUUCCGUAGGUGAACCUGCGGAAGGAUCAUUAAUGAGAUUAACUGAGCUGUUGCUAAUCUUUGGAUUGUGCACGCUCAGAUUUCAAUCCAUUCACACCUUUGUGCACUUCUGCGCAGAAUUAAGACUUCGGUCUUUUCUGUGACUUUAUACAUACUACUUGAUCUUAAAGAACGAGUUAUAACUUAAAUAUAACAACUUUCAACAACGGAUCUCUUGGCUCUCGCAUCGAUGAAGAACGCAGC
rnacentral:misc_RNA from 1 species